AUCGGUUUGUGCUAUUAAGACGAGUUAACCUUGAAACCUAAAUACUUCUACUGAAUUUCGAUAAAGAGCGCAAUCAUGUGUUGUAAUAAACUUUUGUGCUAAACAAUUUAAAGCUAGUACAGAUGUUGGUGGCGUUCCGAGGGAAUCCUUGCACAUUUUAGAUAAUGACGGGUACCCACUUUCGUGUCUUCUCCACCAAUCAAGUAUAUCCUCAGAAUCUUCUGGCCUAGGCACAGUAUUUUUCAAUUUCAUACUUCCAAGAUUAUGGUGACUACACUACCAACAAGCAAUAUCAAUAAUGGAAUGUAUAAAUUAGGUUUUUUAAUUACUUUUUUAUUGUUGAAUGCCCAUUAUGUAAAAAAGAAUUUGAAAUGUUAUACUUACUUUGAUCCUG
rnacentral:lncRNA from 1 species